GUGGGUGUGUGCAGUGUCAGUGGGUGUGGACAUGCCUGUGUAGAUAUAUAAUGAGUAAGUAUGCAUGUUGAUUCAGAAGUGCAGCAGGCAGGAACAGGCACGGGGGCAAUGGAUCCCCAGCAAAAAGUUACAAUACUGCGAGAGGGCUUCCUGGUGAAAAGGGGUCAUCUCGUGCACAACUGGAAAGCGCGCUGGUUCGUGCUGACGCCAGACAAGCUUACCUACUACAAAUACGACGGCGGGAAAAGAGACUCAUGCCAGCGGGGGAAAAUCAUGCUGAAGGAUUGUGUCAUUACUUGCCCCUUCCUGGAGUACGACAAUCGACCUUUGGUGUUUCGGCUUCAGACCAAGAACUGCGUCAAUCACUUCCUGGAAGCGUGUUCCCGGGAGGAGCGAGACGAGUGGGCCGGCGACAUCGCGGCAGCAGCGGACAAAUUGGAGGCCGGAGCAGACGCUGAUGGGGAUGGGUCACUUAGUAUCAGUCCGUCCACAUCAGAAGGCUCGCAGCCACACAACAUCAACCUGAGCAAAGUACUGGAGGCCAUGUAUGACGUUCACAGUGGAAUCAACAUGAGCAACCACGUGGAGCAAGGACGCAUGUUCUCCAACUGCUUCUCAGGCUCUGCAGUGGUGGACUGGUUGGUGUUCACGCAGCUGGCGCUGACCCGAACCGAGGCGGUGACGUUGGCGUCAGCCCUUCUGGAAGAGGGCUUCCUGCGCACCAUCGGCCUGCGGAGCGUGGAGGCGCUGCGCACUGCCGGCCUCAGCGAGCUCUUCCUGGAUGACUCCACGGCGCUUUACAGCUUUUCAGACAACUUGAAGAAGCGAGGCUGCGUGAAAGCCGAGACCACACUGUCUGCGGUGGAGCUCAGCGGUCACGUGAUCAAGAGAGGCUACCUGCUCAAACAAGGCCACCGGCGGAAAAACUGGAAGAUUCGGCUGUUUGUGCUACGCUCCGAACCUUCGUUCCUCCACUACUACGACCCCACCAAGGACGAUAUCAGCCCCGUCGGAGGCUUCCCACUCCGAGGCUCGCUGGUGUCCUCACUGGAUGAUAAUGGCGUUCCCUCUGGUGUCAAGGGCAACAUCCAAGGCAACCUGUUCAAGAUCAUCACCCAGUCGGACACACACUAUUUCAUCCAGGCUCCGAGCCACCAGGAGAAGAUGGAUUGGAUCGACGCCAUCCGGGAGCAUACGUAGCCCAACGUGCAGCGCUGCUAUGGAAAAGUGGUGUCACACAAUAUCCCGCCAGAGCAAAGAAGUGUGACGAGUCGGAACAUGACGCUCGCCACUCCUGCCCCCGCAAGCCCGGUAUGGCCUUCGGCGCGAUGAGUCACAAACUGGCACCAUUUAAACAUAAAUAAAUUAAUAAAAUCCCAGCAGGGCAAAUAACAAUCAAGGGAAUUUUAUUCCAGGGAAGUAAAGUCGCAAUCAAGCAAAAAAAAAUAGUUCUUGCUGUUGCUAAAAAACAUUUAAAGUGUGUGGGUGUGACCUUUGUAAGAUUUAUGUUCAGAAGAAUACACAUUAGCAGAAUGCGCAACAA